rnacentral:tRNA from 1 species
AUUAUUUUGGCAGAAAAGUGCGAUAGAUUUAGAAUCUUUUAAUGUGAAUUAUUACAAAUAAUA